UACGUAGGGUGCGAGCGUUGUCCGGAAUUACUGGGCGUAAAGAGCUCGUAGGUGGUUUGUCGCGUUGUCCGUGAAAACUCACAGCUCAACUGUGGGCGUGCGGGCGAUACGGGCAGACUGGAGUACUGCAGGGGAGACUGGAAUUCCUGGUGUAGCGGUGGAAUGCGCAGAUAUCAGGAGGAACACCGGUGGCGAAGGCGGCAUCCUGGACCGGCAUUGACGCUGAGGCGCGAAAGCCAGGGGAGCAAACGGG
rnacentral:rRNA from 1 species